CGGGUCGCAGCAGUGGGGAAUAUUGGACAAUGGGCGAAAGCCUGAUCCAGCCAUGCCGCGUGUGUGAAGAAGGUCUUCGGAUUGUAAAGCACUUUAAGUUGGGAGGAAGGGCAGUAAAUUAAUACUUUGCUGUUUUGACGUUACCGACAGAAUAAGCACCGGCUAACUCUGUGCCAGCAGCCGCGGUAAUACAGAGGGUGCAAGCGUUAAUCGGAAUUACUGGGCGUAAAGCGCGCGUAGGUGGUUUGUUAAGUUGGAUGUGAAAUCCCCGGGCUCAACCUGGGAACUGCAUUCAAAACUGACUGACUAGAGUAUGGUAGAGGGUGGUGGAAUUUCCUGUGUAGCGGUGAAAUGCGUAGAUAUAGGAAGGAACACCAGUGGCGAAGGCGACCACCUGGACUAAUACUGACACUGAGGUGCGAAAGCGUGGGGAGCAAACAGGAUUAGAUACCCCCGU
rnacentral:rRNA from 1 species